rnacentral:rRNA from 23 species
CCACACGACUCUCGGCAACGGAUAUCUCGGCUCUCGCAUCGAUGAAGAACGUAGCGAAAUGCGAUACCUGGUGUGAAUUGCAGAAUCCCGCGAACCAUCGAGUCUUUGAACGCAAGUUGCGCCCGAGGCCACUCGGCCGAGGGCACGCCUGCCUGGGCGUCACG